rnacentral:rRNA from 1 species
UACGAAGGGGGCUAGCGUUGUUCGGAAUUACUGGGCGUAAAGGGCGCGUAGGCGGUGAUCUUUGUCAGAGGUGAAAGCCCGGGGCUCAACUCCGGAAUUGCCUUUGAAACGGGAUUGCUUGAGUCCGAGAGAGGAUGGCGGAAUUCCUAGUGUAGAGGUGAAAUUCGUAGAUAUUAGGGAGAACACCGGUGGCGAAGGCGGCCAUCUGGCUCGGUACUGACGCUGAUGCGCGAAAGCGUGGGGAGCAAACAGG